rnacentral:tRNA from 1 species
GCUUCUAUGGCAUAGUGGAUUGAGCAUUUGCCUACUGGGCAAAAGGUUGCUAGUUCAAGCCCAGCCAGGGACA